AGAGUUUGAUCCUGGCUCAGAACGAACGCUGGCGGCAUGGCUAAAACAUGCAAGUCGAACGAGAAAGUUCCCUUCGGGGAGCGAGUAAAGUGGCGAACGGGCGAGUAAUGCAUGGGUAACGUACCUUUGGCACGAGAAUAGUUUACCGAAAGGUGAAGUAAUGCUCGAUGAGACCACAGUGUCUACAGGCACAGUGGUCAAAGGUGGGGAUUCUUCGGAACCUACCGGCCAAAGAUCGGCCCAUGUCCUAUCAGCUAGUUGGUGAGGUAACGGCUCACCAAGGCAACGACGGGUAGCGGGACUGAGAGGUUGACCCGCCGCAUUGGGACUGAGACACUACCCAGACUCCUACGGGAGGCUGCAGUAACGAAUAUUGGGCUAAUGCGCGAAAGCGUGACCCAGCAAUGCCGCGUGUGGGAAGAACUCCUUCGGGAUGUAAACCACUGUCAGGGGCUACCAAGCAAUAAGGGCCAAUACCCCUUUGCGUUGAGAGCCCCAGAGAAGCCACGCUAACU
rnacentral:rRNA from 1 species